UACAGAGGUCCCAAGCGUUGUUCGGAUUCACUGGGCGUAAAGGGUGCGUAGGCGGUCGGGUAAGUCUGAUGUGAAAUCUCACAGCUUAACUGUGAAACUGCAUUGGAUACUAUUCGGCUUGAGAGUUGGAGGGGGGACUGGAAUUCUUGGUGUAGCAGUGAAAUGCGUAGAUAUCAAGAGGAACACCAGUGGCGAAGGCGAGUUCCUGGACAACUUCUGACGCUGAGGCACGAAAGCUAGGGGAGCAAACAGG
rnacentral:rRNA from 1 species